rnacentral:rRNA from 1 species
AUCCUACGGGGGGCAGCAGUGGGGAAUAUUGCACAAUGGGGGAAACCCUGAUGCAGCAACGCCGCGUGAGUGAAGAAGUAUUUCGGUAUGUAAAGCUCUAUCAGCAGGGAAGAAAAUGACAGUACCUGACUAAGAAGCCCCGGCUAACUACGUGCCAGCAGCCGCGGUAAUACGUAGGGGGCAAGCGUUGUCCGGAUUUACUGGGUGUAAAGGGCGUGUAGCCGGGCUGACAAGUCAGAUGUGAAAUUCCGGGGCUCAACCCCGGACCUGCAUUUGAAACUGUGUUUCUUGAGUACUGGAGAGGC